GACGAACGCUGGCGGCGUGCCUAAUACAUGCAAGUAGAACGCUGAAGAGAGGAGCUUGCUCUUCUUGGAUGAGUUGCGAACGGGUGAGUAACGCGUAGGUAACCUGCCUUGUAGCGGGGGAUAACUAUUGGAAACGAUAGCUAAUACCGCAUAACAAUGGAUGACACAUGUCAUUUAUUUGAAAGGGGCAGUUGCUCCACUACAAGAUGGACCUGCGUUGUAUUAGCUAGUAGGUGAGGUAACGGCUCACCUAGGCGACGAUACAUAGCCGACCUGAGAGGGUGAUCGGCCACACUGGGACUGAGACACGGCCCAGACUCCUACGGGAGGCAGCAGUAGGGAAUCUUCGGCAAUGGGGGCAACCCUGACCGAGCAACGCCGCGUGAGUGAAGAAGGUUUUCGGAUCGUAAAGCUCUGUUGUAAGUCAAGAACGAGUGUGAGAGUGGAAAGUUUACACUGUGACGGUAGCUUACCAGAAAGGGACGGCUAACUACGUG
rnacentral:rRNA from 1 species